rnacentral:rRNA from 1 species
UACGGGGGGGGCAAGCGUUGUUCGGAAUUACUGGGCGUAAAGGGCUCGUAGGUGGCCAACUAAGUCAGACGUGAAAUCCCUCGGCUUAACCGGGGAACUGCGUCUGAUACUGGAUGGCUUGAGUUUGGGAGAGGGACGCGGAAUUCCAGGUGUAGCGGUGAAAUUCGUAGAUAUCGGGAGGAACACCAGUGGCGAAGGCGGCGACCUGGACGGACACUGACGCUGAGACGCGAAAGCGUGGGGAGCAAACAGG